UAAGUGAAUAAGGGCGCACGGUGGAUGCCUUGGCACUAGGAGCCGAUGAAGGACGGGACUAACACCGAUAUGCUUUGGGGAGCUGUACGUAAGCUAUGAUCCAGAGAUUUCCGAAUGGGGGAACCCAGCAUCUUUAAUAGGAUGUUACGAUUGUGUGAAUACAUAGCACAUUCGAGGUAGACGCAGAGAACUGAAACAUCUAAGUACCUGCAGGAAGAGAAAGAA
rnacentral:rRNA from 1 species